rnacentral:rRNA from 1 species
ACUCAAAGGAAUUGACGGGGGCCCGCACAAGCGGUGGAGCAUGUGGUUUAAUUCGUCACUAACCGAAGAACCUUACCCAGACUUGACAUUGAGGGAAAGACGGUGAAAGCCGUACCUCGACGCAAGUCGACCCGAAAACAGGUGUUGCAUGGCUGUCGUCAGCUCGUGUCGUGAGAUGUUGGGUUAAGUCCCGCAACGAGCGCAACCCUCACCGUAUGUUGCCAGCGUAAAGUCGGGAACUCUUACGGAACUGCCUAUGCAAGUAGGAGGAAGGUGGGGAUGACGUCAAGUCGGCAUGGCCCUUACGUCUGGGGCUACACACAUGCUACAAUGGACGCGAACAAAGGGAAGCCAAACCGCGAGGUGGAGCCGAUCUCAAAAAUCCGUCCUCAGUUCGGAUUGCAGGCUGCAACUCGCCUGCAUGAAGCUGGAAUCGCUAGUAACCGCAGGUCAGCUAAACUGCGGUGAAUACGUUCCCGGGCCUUGUACACACCGCCCGU